rnacentral:rRNA from 1 species
UACGAAGGGGGCUAGCGUUGCUCGGAAUCACUGGGCGUAAAGGGCGCGUAGGCGGCGUUUUAAGUCGGGGGUGAAAGCCUGUGGCUCAACCACAGAAUGGCCUUCGAUACUGGGACGCUUGAGUAUGGUAGAGGUUGGUGGAACUGCGAGUGUAGAGGUGAAAUUCGUAGAUAUUCGCAAGGACACCGGUGGCGAAGGCGGCCAACUGGACCAUUACUGACGCUGAGGCGCGAAAGCGUGGGGAGCAAACAGG